CAAUAGCGUAUAUUAAAGUUGUUGCAGUUAAAAAGCUCGUAGUUGGAUUUCUGGCAGGAGCAACCGGUCACUCACUCUGUGUGUGAACUUGUGUUGUCUCUGGCCAUCCUCGGGGAGAUCUUGUUUGGCAUUAAGUUGUCGAGCAGGGGAUACCCGUCGUUUACUGUGAGAAAAUUAGAGUGUUUAAAGCAGGCUUAUGCCGUUGAAUAUAUUAGCAUGGAAUAAUAAGAUAGGACUUCGGAACUAUUUUGUUGGUUUGCGUUACGAAGUAAUGAUUAAUAGGGACAGUUGGGGGUAUUCGUAUUUCGUUGUCAGAGGUGAAAUUCUUGGAUUUCCGAAAGACGAACUACUGCGAAAGCAUUUACCAAGGAUGUUUUCAUUA
rnacentral:rRNA from 1 species